AACCCUUAUUGUCAGUUGCCAUCAUUCAGUUGGGCACUCUAGCGAGACUGCCGGUAAUAAACCGGAGGAAGGUGGGGAUGACGUCAAAUCAUCAUGCCCCUUAUGACCUGGGCUACACACGUGCUACAAUGGUUGGUACAACGAGUCGCAAGUCGGUGACGGCAAGCAAAUCUCUUAAAGCCAAUCUCAGUUCGGAUUGUAGGCUGCAACUCGCCUACAUGAAGUCGGAAUCGCUAGUAAUCGCGGAUCAGCACGCCGCGGUGAAUACGUUCCCGGGCCUUGUACACACCGCCCGUCNCACCACGAAAGUUUGUAACACCCGAAGUCGGUGAGGUAACCGUAAGGAGCCAGCCGCCUAACGUGGGAUAAAUGAUUGGGGUGAANUCGUAACAAGGUA
rnacentral:rRNA from 1 species